UAAAUUGUAGGCAGAUCACCAUGCAAUUUGAAGACGUCUGAUAAAAUACAGAGAGGUGAAGUCAUGUGUCUUUCCAGAUGCCCAAAUCAUUCCCCCUUAAAAGAUGAGCCUGAAGAGGAGAUUUGGGAAGAUGCUGUUUCAUAAGUCGCUUUGCCAGAUCACCUGUGGUCGGGAUGUCUGCUAACAAGAUGCCUUGCUGGUCUGGGCGAGUUUAAAGUCUUA